AGAGUUUGAUCCUGGCUCAGGACGAACGCUGGCGGCGCGCUUAACACAUGCAAGUCGAGCGAGAACCAGGGCUUCGGCCCUGGGGACAGCGGCGAACGGGUGAGUAACACGUGAGUAAUCUGCCCUCGGCACCGGGAUAGCCCGGGGAAACCCGGAUUAAUACCGGAUAGCCUCCGAAGCCUUCGGGCGUCGGAGCAAAGGUAGCUUUGGCCUCUGGCCGAGGAUGAGCUCGCGGCGGAUUAGCUUGUUGGUGGGGUAAUGGCCCACCAAGGCGACGAUCCGUAGCUGGUCUGAGAGGACGAUCAGCCACACUGGGACUGAGACACGGCCCAGACUCCUACGGGAGGCAGCAGUGGGGAAUCUUGCGCAAUGGGCGAAAGCCUGACGCAGCGACGCCGCGUGCGGGAAGAAGGCCUUCGGGUUGUAAACCGCUUUCAGCAGGGACGAAGCUACUCGGGUGAAUAGCCCAGAGGGUGACGGUACCUGUAGAAGAAGCCCCGGCUAACUACGUGCCAGCAGCCGCGGUA
rnacentral:rRNA from 1 species